UACGUAGGGUGCAAGCGUUGUCCGGAAUCAUUGGGCGUAAAGCGCGUGUAGGCGGCUCGGUAAGUCCGCUCUGAAAGUCCAGGGCUCAACCCUGGGAUGCGGGUGGAUACUGCCGGGCUCGAGUCCGGAAGAGGCGAGUGGAAUUCCCGGUGUAGCGGUGAAAUGCGCAGAUAUCGGGAGGAACACCAAUGGCGAAGGCAGCUCGCUGGGACGUGACUGACGCUGAGACGCGAAAGCGUGGGGAGCAAACAGGG
rnacentral:rRNA from 1 species